GCUCGGGAGAUCGAGCGCUAGUGAUUUCAGGGAUUUGCGAGUUAUCGAGAUACGCGAGGUGAGUCUUCUCACUAUACUUUACCUUGAGUAGGUAAUCAGAGUUAUGUGACAGAGUAUUUGUAUGCUAUAUGUAUGUUAUGUGUUGUACUGCAUUAUUUCUAUGUGAUUUAUGCUGUGCAUGUUUAUAGAGUUAGAACCGGAAGGUUCCCAAAGUUAGAACCAGAGGGUUCACAGAGUAGGGUCUACGGACCCACAGAGUUAUAGCCUCGAGUGGCUAAUAUGUGUUAUGUGUGGUAUUUUGGGGAACUCACUAAGCUUUGUGCUUACAGUGUUUGGUGUUAUUUGUUUCAGGUACUAGUGAUGACCGUGGGAAGGCGCCGGCUUGAUCAGUACGCACACAGGAUUUUUAUGUUACGAGAUCUUGAGAUUUUUAUAUGUCAUGGAUUGAGUUUCAAACAUUGAUGUUUUAUGAAUAUUAAAUGAAUUAUGUUUUUAUAAAAUGUGAAAAAUUGUUCUGAAAUUUAUAGUGUUACAAGUUGGUAUCAGAGCCUUGGUUUGAGGGAUUCGAGUACACCUUCGGGCGUAUUUGAACUCAAACUGAGGAUUUGAGAAGUAUUUUCAAAAAGAGUAAAAGAUUUUUGGAAAAACGCAGAGCAGAGUUGUGUGUACGAUCAGUCCUCGCCCGAACGGUGAUUUCCCAAGCUACCCUCAUAUUAUGUGUCAUGAUAUUGAUAUGAUGUAUUCUCAUGCUAGAGUAGGUUAGGUACUCCUAUUAGGACUAGAGUGGCCUGAUUUCUGAUGUCUUAUCCUAGGAGGAGGUGAGUUGCUAUGAGAUGCUUCAGAGUGAGUAAGUAGCAACGAGGAGCUUAUGAGAGAUCUGUUAGAGAGUGGAUUAUGCAUAAUAGAGUACUUGGAACUUGGGAUCCGAAGAGGAGGACUUGGGGUGUAUUCUGAUACGGUGCGGACAGUAGUAUUGGGCCCGUACUACUGAAAGCACCGGGGCGGUGUACAGCCCAAGUAAGAAUCUUUGGAAUGCCAAGGAUCAAGGAGGGAUGAGUUGUCGAGUGUGAGUAUGCUCGAAUGGAUUCUAAUUUAUCGUAUGUUGUAUUUCAGAGGUAGAUCAUGGUGAGGACACGUCUUAUGCCUGAGAGUAAUUGGGUCAGUGAUGAGGAGAUCCGCCGGAUCAUCCAUGAGGAGGUGGCUGCGGCCAUCAGGGCAGAGAUACCAGAGAUGUUCGGGUCUAUUAAGACCAUGUUGAUUGAGACUUUCAACGAGAGUUAUGCUGCUCUUUCUGAGGCUGCUGUUGCAGCGGNNNNNNNNNNNNNNNNNNNNNNNNNNNNNNNNNNNNNNNNNNNNNNNNNNNNNNNNNNNNNNNNNNNNNNNNNNNNNNNGUCGGAGUUUGACCCAGGACCCGGUGGCGGCUAUGAGAUGGAUUUCAGAAAUAGAGGGGUUUUUAUUCACUUGCUCAUCUCCUAAGCAUUUGAGAGUUUAGUUCACACUGAACCAGCUUCGCUUGGGAGCGAAGGACUGGUGGAAGUUUGUGACGGCGCACCUUACGCCUGCUGAGCUUGUGGCAGUGACAUGGGAGAGGUUCACUGCCAUGUUCCGAGAUGAGUACGUUCCCCAGGUGGAGAGGGAGCGUUUGGCCCAGGAGUUGCUGACCCUCAAGCAGGGUACUGAGUCUGUUACGGUGAUUACCAGGAUGUUCCACGAGAGGGCAAUGUUCAGCCCUGUGCACGUGUCCACUGAGCAGGCACGUAUGAGCCGAUAUUUGAGUAUCUUGAAGCGAGACAUUCGGGAGUUCGUGGAGAACUCCUCGUACCGGACAUUUGCCGAGCUUCAGGCAAAUGCCCAGAAGAGGGAGAUUGAGCUAGAGACUCAGGCUAGGGAGUAGGCGGAGUCUCAGGGGAGGGAUCGGCGACCGGCAUAGUCCCAGCCGGCAGCCAAGCGGGCCAUGCCCGCUGAUCCCAAAACAGGGAGCCAGAAAGGCCGCACUUGUGGGAAGUGCGGAAAGGGUCAUGAUCAAUUUUGUAGAGUUGGAUCUUGCUACAAGUGUGGCAAGGAGGGACAUAUGGCCAAGGACUGCCCCAAGGGGUUUGCAGUAUGUUUCCACUGCAACCAGACCGGACACCGGAAGGCAGAGUGUCUGCAGUUGCGGGGGUCAGCUCAGGGAGCACCUCCGGGAUCUGCCCCUGCCGCCAUCAGAGCUACUGAGAGUCGGCCAGUGAAGGCCGAGGUGCCGUGGGUACGAGGGAGAGCUUUUCAGUUGACCGCGCAGGAGGUCCGCGCAGCGCCUGAUGUCAUGGCUGGUAUGUAUUCUUUCGUGUAUUUAUUUUGAUGUUGAGAUAUAUUGCUUAUAUUAUGUUAUGCGUAGGUACUUUUCUUGUGAAUUAUGUACCUGCCUUGGUGUUAUUUGACUCGGGUGCGAGUCGGUCUUUGGUAUCUUUGGCUUUUAGUCAGCAUCUUAUUGUUAGUCGUGAGGCGUUGAGUCAGCCUCCGAGAGUUUCCAUAGCUGACGAGAGGGUGAUAUAUUCCACGGAGGUUAUCCGUGGGUGCGUAUUUGAGAUUUUCGGUGUUGAGUUCCCGAUUGAUUUGGUUCCUAUUGCGAUGGGCGAUGCCUGUGUCAUUAUGGGCAUGGACUGGUUGAGCAGAUUCGGUGUGGUUAUCGACUACGAGCAGCAGCUGGUGACCAUACGAGAUCCUAGUGGGCGAGUUCUUAUGGUGUACGGCGAGGGUACACAUUCUGGGUCAGCAUUUUGUUCGGCCGCUAGGGUGAGGCAGUGUCUACAGCAGGGCUGUAAGGGCUUUGUGGCGUAUGUGAUCGAUACGCGGGUUGAUUCAGAGAGGCCGAGGUCAGUUGAGGAGGUUCCGAUAGUGCGUGAAUUUCUGGAUGUAUUUCUAGAGGAGUUUUCGGGUGUGCCUCCCGUGAGGCAAGUGGAGUUCAGUAUCGAUUUGGUUCCGGGGGUCGCGCCUAUCGCCAAGGUGCCUUAUCGCCUUGCACCUCUGGAGAUGCAAGAGUUAUCCUCGCGGCUUCAGGAGCUGUUGGGAAAGGGGUUUAUUCGGCCGAGCAGCUCGCCGUGGGGAGCGCCUAUCCUUUUUGUCAAGAAGAAGGAUGGUUCAAACCGGAUGUGCAUUGACUAUUAGGAGUUGAACAUGCUGACGGUCAAGAACCGUUACCUGUUGCCGAGGAUCGACGAUUUGUUCGAUCAGUUGCAGGGAGCAUCUUGGUUCUCCAAGAUCGAUUUGAGGUCUGGAUAUCAUCAAGUGAGGUUGCGAGAUGAAGACAUCCAGAAGACAGCAUUCAGGACGUGUUAUGGGUAUUACGAGUUUGUGGUGAUGCCUUUCAGGCUCACCAAUGCCCCGACAGUGUUCAUGGAUCUCAUGAACUGAGUGUGCAGGCCGAUGUUGGAUCGGACGGUGAUUGUAUUCAUCGACGACAUUUUGGUAUAUUCGAGAUCUAGAGAGCAGCAUGAGGAGCAUUUGAGGGAGAUCCUCGGGGUUCUGAGAUCGGAGAGGCUUUAUGCCAAAUUCUCCAAGUGUGAUUUCUGGUUGCGAGAGGUCUAGUUCCUAAGGCAUCUCGUUAACCAGAAAGGGAUAUUGGUCGACCCGGCCAAAGUUGAGGCAGUGAUGAGUUGGGAGGUGUCGAGGUCACCCUUCGAGAUCAGGAGUUUCUUAGGGUUGCUAGGUUAUUAUCGGAGAUUUAUCAAGGAUUUCUCUAAGAUCGCAGUGCCACUCACCAGGUUGACCCGGAAGGGUGUCGCUUUUUCAUGGGGCCCCGAGCAGCUGGCCUCCUUUGAGAUGCUUCGGCAAAGAUUAUGCGAAGCCCCGGUGUUAGCCCUCCCGGAGGGGAUGGAGGACUUUGUGGUAUACUGUGAUGCAUCGAUCUUGGGGUUGGGAGCGGUGCUGAUGCAGAGAGGGCAUGUGAUAGCAUAUGCAUCGAGGCAGCUGAAGCCUCAUGAGAUGAGGUAUCCCACCCAUGAUCUAGAGUUGGGGGCAGUGGUGUUCGCCCUCAAAAUUUGGCGUCACUAUCUGUAUGGGGUUCGGUGUACGAUAUACACAGACCAUAAGAGCCUGAAGUGUUUGAUGGAUCAGCCCAACCUAAAUAUGCGGCAGAGGAGGUGGUUGGAUGUGGUCAAGGAUUAUGAUUGUGAGAUCCUGUACCAUCCAGUCAAGGCUAAUGUGGUAGCCGACGCCCUGAGUCGCUGGCGGAGAGCGCCCCAUUGCGAGAUGUAUGUUUGCAAUUGACCGUGAUGGCUUCGGUGCUGGACACCAUUUGUGUAGCACAUGCUGAGGUCGUGAGAUCGGAGAACCAGAAGAGAGAGCGAGUUAUUGGGUUGGUAUCGGAGUUCGUUACCGAUGGUCGGGGGCUUAUGACAUUUCAACGGCGUAUAUGGGUACCAUUUGUGGGAGGGACGCAUACCAUUUUGAUGGAAGAGGCUCAUCGGUCGAAAUUCUCGAUCCAUCCUGGGGCCACUAAGAUGUAUUUGGACCUAAGGAGAGAGUAUUGGUGGCCCUGUAUGAAUAGGGAUAUUGCGUGGUUUGUUGAGAGGUUCUUAACCUAUCGUAGGGUUAAGGCCGAGCACCAGAGACCGCAUGGUAAGUUGCAGCCGUUGGAGGUUCCCGAAUGGAAGUGGGAACAGAUUACCAUGGAUUUUAUCACCAAAUUUCCAAGGACUGCUAGGGGAGUCGAUGUAAUUUGGGUGAUUGUCGACAGGUUGACAAAGAGCACCCACUUCCUUGUUAUCAGUAAGAGCUCCUCCGUAGAGAAGUUAGCAGAGAUGUACGUGAGGGAAAUGGUAUCUCGGUAUGGGGUGCCGAUCUCAAUUGUCUCAGACCGGGAUGUAUGUUUCACUUCCAGAUUUUGGAAGAAGUUUCACGACGAUUUGGGUAAUAGGCUGCAUUUUAGUACCACAUAUCACUCCCAGACAGACGGACAGAGUGAGCGGACGAUCCAGACGCUCGAGGACAUGCUCCGGGCAUGUGUGUUGGAUUUUGGGGGGAGUUGGGAUACGUAUUUGACCUUGGCAGAGUUUUCCUAUAACAACAGCCAUCAUUCGAGCAUUGGUAUGCCACCCUUUGAGCUGUUGUAUGGGAGGAGGUGUCGGACCCCCAUUUGCUAGGGAGAGGUCGGACAACGUGUUAUGGGCAGUACAAAGAUCGUGCUUUAGACGACAGAGCAGAUCCAGCAGGUCAGACAGAGGUUGUUGACCGCUUAGAGUCGUCAGAAGAGUUAUGCGGACAGACGUCGGUCCGAGCUUGAGUUUCAGGUCGGCGACUUUGUGCUCCUGAAGGUCUCUCCUUGGAAAGGAGUGAUUCGAUUCAGGAAGAGGGGCAAGUUAGGGCCCCGAUAUAUUGGUCCAUUCCGGGUGGUCGCGGGGGUAGGUAGGGUAUCCUAUCGCUUGGAGUUGCCAGCAGAGUUGAGUCAGAUUCACGACACUUUCCACGUGUCGCAAUUGCGGAAGUGUAUAGCCGAUGAGUCGGCAGUGGUUCCAUUAGAGGAUAUUCAGGUGGAUGCGAGCCUGAAUUAUGUUGAGAGACCGAUGGCAAUCAGAGAUUGGAAAAUCAAGGUGUUGAGGAACAAGGAGGUACCCUUGGUUUUGGUUCAGUGGCAACAUCGGAAGGGGUCCGAGAUGACUUGGGAGCCGGAGUGUGAGAUGCGUGAGCAGCAUCUGGAGUUAUUUGUGGAGCGAGACUUCGAGGGUGAAGUCUAGUUCUAGUGGGGGAGAAUUGUAACAUCCCGAAUUCCCAGGUAUUAUUUAUUAUUGUAUUUUUGGUGAUUUGUGAGGAGACGUGGCGAGUUGGAGCCCAAACUCGCUGAGUAUAACCGCGGGUGUGGGUGCGGGUUCGCGUCUGGACUCGGCGAGUCCACGCUGUUUAAUGAAAUCCUAAUUCCCCGGGUUUGGAGCCUAUUUAAGGGCACUUAUAGCCUCCCAUUGCGGCUACCGGUCCCUUGAGAGAACCCUAAGAGAGCUAAAUCGCUUUGAGAGAGAAGAAGUCACUUUUGGAUCUUUGUAUCCUUUGUUUAGCAAGAAGAGGGUGACAAGAGCAAGGAGGAGGUGAGAUUCAAGCAUAUCCAGAGUCCAAAGGCUUCAUUUUGAGGUAAUACUUCGAACCUCCUUCAGUUUUAGGAUUGAUCUUUAGAGUUAGGGUUUUCUAACUCCUUUUUGAAAGUGAUUAUGUGAAGCAAAUGGUCCCUCCUCGAGUUUGUGCCUUGGAUCUGGACUCAAAGAGGUCCACAGACCUUAACCCUUGCAGCUUUUUCGGUUAGUAUGGAGUUAUUGGACUUAGGUUGUCAUUUUUGGGACCAAAUCUCCUUUUGAUGCCUUGUUGUGGUUAUACAAGCAUCAAGUUUCGAACUUUACGUGACAUGGCCAGAUCUGUGGUUUGGGGAAACAGAUCUGACCUCAGGAGGUCAAUAGGGUUUGUGCAUGGCAUGAACUCGCCGAGUUGUUCUUGAGACUCGGCGAGUAGCGUUAAGUUUCACGUAAAUUGUUCAGCGAGUAGACUCGCCGGGUUGGGGGAUAACCCAGUGAGCCAGGGAGAGUCAAAGGGGGUUGAGUCAAGCUGGAACUCGCCGAGUUGUUCUUGAGACUCGGCGAGUUGAGUCGUGGUGGCCCCGCGAUUCAUGCCAGGUGGAACUCGUCGAGUUAGGGAAGUACUCGACGUGUCAAGAGAGGAUCCGAGGGAGUCAGUGAACACGUAUAGACUCGCCGAGUCACCCUAGUGCACUCGCCGAGUCUGGUCAAAGUUGACCGUUGACCAUUGACCAGAGUUGACCAGUGUUGACUUGAUAGGGUUAGUCAACCUUAGUUGUGAAAGUCUUAAUUAGAGAUAUAUUGUGUUAUAGGAGGACUAUAGCUCGGGAGAUCGAGCGCUAGUGAUUUCAGGGAUUUGCGAGUUAUCGAGAUACGCGAGGUGAGUCUUCUCACUAUACUUACCUUGAGUAGGUAAUCAGAGUUAUGUGACAGAGUAUUUGUAUGCUAUAUGUAUGUUAUGUGUUGUACUGCAUUAUUUCUAUGUGAUUUAUGUUGUGCAUGCUUCUAGAGUUGGAACCGGAAGGUUCACAGAGUUAGAGCCAGAGGGUUUACAGAGUAGGGUCCAUGGACCCAUAGAGUUAUAGCCUCGAGUGGCUAAUAUGUGCUAUGUGUGGUAUUUUGGGGAAGUCACUAAGCUUUGAGCUUACAGUGUUUGGUGUUAUUUGUUUCAGGUACUAGUGAUUACCGUGGGAAGGCGCCGACUUGAUCAGUACACACAUAGGAUUUUUAUGUUACGAGAUCUUGGGAUUUUUAUAUGUCAUGGACUGAGUUUCAAACAUUGAUGUCUUUAUGAAUAUUAAAUGAAUUAUGUUUUUAUAAAAUGUGAA
rnacentral:lncRNA from 1 species